rnacentral:rRNA from 1 species
AUUGAACGCUGGCGGCAGGCUUAACACAUGCAAGUCGAACGAGUGGCGGACGGGUGAGUAAUGCUUGGGAAUCUAGCUUCUGGAGGGGGAUAACUACGGGAAACUGUAGCUAAUACCGCGUACCAUAGGAUGAGCCCAAGUGGGAUUAGUUAGUUGGUGAGGUAAAGGCGCACCAAGCCGACGAUCGCUAGCUGGGCUGAGAGGAUGACCAGCGACACUGGGACUGAGACGAGGCCCAGACUCCUCCGGGAGGCAGCAGUGGGGAAUAUUGCACAAUGGGCGCAAGCCUGAUGCAGCCAUGCCGCGUGUGUGAAGAAGGCCUUCGGGUUGUAAAGCACUUUCAGCGAGGAGGCGUUACUCGCAGAAGAAGCACCGGCUAACUCCGUGCCAGCAGCCGCGGUAAUUC